GUCAAAACGGUCGCCAUUAAGGUGCCAGUCCAACAAUAAUAAUUUUUAUAGUUUGGAUCAAGCAACUAUUUAUUAUUAACGGAAACAAGAAAUAGAGAACUUAUUACGCUCAUGUUUUGACUUGACAUCAUUUGGACUAAAGUCUAGUCUGAAUUGUUUUGGUACUGGUUUUAUAUUUUAAUUCUGGAUUGUCGUGUGAUACCCUGUAAACUAUGGAUGAAGGUCCGGCAAGUAAAAAGGCCAAAGGCUUUGCAGAAAAGGAUCCAAAUAAAAAAGACUUAGCUACACUGCCAGAGAAAAUUUUGUUAAAAAUUUUCAGUUAUUUAGACUUGAAAUCACUUAACAAUUGCGCAAUGCUGUGUUCAACACUCAAUAACUUAUCAAAAUCCAGUUGUUUGUAUAAAAGUGUUCAUUUAAAAUACAAUAUGAGUUCACAUUUUCUCAGCUCCUUAGUAUCAAAAGUGAGCAGACCAAAACAUUUAUUUAUUGAAUAUAAACACCAAGAUGAAAAUACAGAGGAUUACUCAGAGUUUAAUCAGUUUGUUACCUUAUUGUUAAGAAAGUCUGGAGAACAUUUGGAAUCACUAAGAGUUGAAAGUUGUAGGUGUGAAGAAGUUUUAAACAAUAUAUCAGAGUGUACAAAUCUAAAAAAAUUGGGGUUAUAUAGAUGUAAAGGAACCUUUUCAACACUGUCUUCAUUAAAUAGACUGCAAAACCUUUCAUUAGUGUUAUGUCAUUUUUUACCCAAAACAGUGAGUGAAUUACUUCACAAUAAUUCUAAUUUAAUUCACGUCUUUCUCUCUUCUAAUGAUAACGUAGAUGUUAAUGAAGUUUGCGAGGUUCUCUCUCAACACAAUCUAGAUGUGAGGGAAUUAUAUUUAAGUGAAAAAAAGAAACUGAAAGCAAAAGGUGUAAAAUCCUUGGCAAGAUUAUGUGAUCUGAGAACUUUAACUUUGAUUAACGGACCUGGUUCAAAUUGGGAUCCAGAAGAUUCACUUGAACAAGUUGCUGCAGGUUGUUCUAAAUUGGAAAAGCUUUCCAUUUAUGGUUGGAGAGGUUUGAAUGACGACAAUUUUAUACCAGCCUUGCAUAUGUUUACGCAGAUUACGGAAUUGGAUCUACGUGGAACGAAUAUAACUGUAAAAAGUUGUCGAGAAGCCGCUUUAACACUGCCAAAGUUGAAACUGAUGGACGUUAUCAAGUGUCACAGGGUCAAAAAGUCACAACUCGCCAAAUUGCAAAAAGACUUUUCAGAGAUCUACAUACCAUUAGAGUGAAUUUUAUAGGAAUUUAUUUUCUAUGUAGAUAGUUUUCUCAUUUUAAUUCUUAAUUUAUUGAGCACUACAAUAAUAAUUAUUUUUAUAAUGAAUUUUUCGUUACGAUAUUGUUGUUUAUCUGCGACGUCAAUCAAUUAAUUAAAAUAAAAAAACAAUGGAGGUUUACAUUUAUAUUUAUGUACAAUAUACAAAUUAUUUACAUG